AGCAGCCGCCACGGUAAUACGUAGGUGGCAAGCGUUGUCCGGAAUUAUUGGGCGUAAAGGGCUCGCAGGCGGUUUCUUAAGUCUGAUGUGAAAGCCCCCGGCUCAACCGGGGAGGGUCAUUGGAAACUGGGAAACUUGAGUGCAGAAGAGGAGAGUGGAAUUCCACGUGUAGCGGUGAAAUGCGUAGAGAUGUGGAGGAACACCAGUGGCGAAGGCGACUCUCUGGUCUGUAACUGACGCUGAGGAGCGAAAGCGUGGGGAGCGAACAGGAUUAGAUACCCGCGUAGUCCCUGUCUCUUAUAC
rnacentral:rRNA from 1 species